rnacentral:rRNA from 1 species
UACGGAGGGGGCUAGCGUUGUUCGGAAUUACUGGGCGUAAAGCGUACGUAGGCGGCUUUGUAAGUUAGAGGUGAAAGCCCGGGGCUCAACCCCGGAAUUGCCUUUAAGACUGCAUCGCUUGAACGUCGGAGAGGUGAGUGGAAUUCCGAGUGUAGAGGUGAAAUUCGUAGAUAUUCGGAGGAACACCAGUGGCGAAGGCGGCUCACUGGACGACUGUUGACGCUGAGGUACGAAAGCGUGGGGAGCAAACAGG